rnacentral:rRNA from 1 species
GUCUCUAAGGAUAAACAUAAUAUCUUCAAUUUGAUUGAAAGGCUACUUCGUUUGCUCAUUACCCUCCCAGUUUCUACAACGAGUGUUGAACGUGCAUUUUCUAGUAUGAAGAUCAUUAAAACAAGGUUGCGGAAUAAGAUGGAAGAUGGUCAUCUUCCCAACAACUUGCUAGUUAACAUAGAGGGUGAAAAUCUAGAGAAAUAUAGCUAUGAAGAUAUCAUUGAUGAUUUUAGAAGCAUGGCGGAUCGGAAAGCAGAUUUGUAG